UACGGGGGGAGCAAGCGUUGUUCGGAUUUACUGGGCGUAAAGGGCGCGUAGGCGGUAGCGCAAGUCAGUUGUGAAAUCUCCGGGCUUAACUCGGAAAGGUCAACUGAUACUGUGCGACUAGAGUGCAGAAGGGGCAACUGGAAUUCUUGGUGUAGCGGUGAAAUGCGUAGAUAUCAAGAGGAACACCUGCGGCGAAGGCGGGUUGCUGGGCUGACACUGACGCUGAGGCGCGAAAGCUAGGGGAGCGAACGGG
rnacentral:rRNA from 1 species